rnacentral:rRNA from 1 species
UUGCCUCAGUAACGGCGAGUGAAGCGGCAACAGCUCAAAUUUGAAAUCUGGUCCUUGCGGCCCGAGUUGUAAUUUGCAGAGGAUGCUUUUGGCGCGGUGCCUUCCAAGUUCCCUGGAACGGGACGCCUUAGAGGGUGAGAGCCCCGUACGGUUGGACACCAAGCCUUUGUAAAGCUCCUUCGACGAGUCGAGUAGUUUGGGAAUGCUGCUCUAAAUGGGAGGUAUAUUUCUUCUAAAGCUAAAUACCGGCCAGAGACCGAUAGCGCACAAGUAGAGUGAUCGAAAGAUGAAAAGCACUUUGAAAAGAGGGUUAAACAGCACGUGAAAUUGUUAAAAGGGAAGCGCUUGUGACCAGACUUGCGCCCGGUGAAUCACCCAGCUCUCGCGGCUGGGGCACUUUGCCGGCUCAGGCCAGCAUCAGCUUGCCGUCGGGGACAAAAGCUUCGGGAACGUAGCUCUCUUCGGGGAGUGUUAUAGCCCGUUGCACAAUACCCUUCGGCGGGCUGAGGUACGCGCUCCGCAAGGAUGCUGGCAUAAUGGUCAUCAGCGACCCGUCUUGAAACACGGACCAAGGAGUCAACCUUAUGUGCGAGUGUUCGGGUGUCAAACCCCUACGCGUAAUGAAAGUGAACGCAGGUGAGAGCUUCGGCGCAUCAUCGACCGAUCCUGAUGUUCUCGGAUGGAUUUGAGUAAGAGCAUAUAGGGUUGGACCCGAAAGAAGGUGAACUAUGCGUGUAUAGGGUGAAGCCAGAGGAAACUCUGGUGGAGGCUCGCAGCGGUUCUGACGUGCAAAUCGAUCGUCAAAUAUGCGCAUGGGGGCGAAAGACUAAUCGAA